rnacentral:lncRNA from 1 species
GGAGCGGGGCUUUGCCAGGGUCCAUUGUACUCACGCUGGGGGGCUAGAGACCUUCUUUUACUGGUUCUGCUUAUCAGCCAAACUUCACCUAACCUUUGGACUUGUUAAGCCAGUGCCUUGCAGCCUAGGCGCGGGGCUUUUCCACCGGUUCUCAGUUCCGCUUUAGUCCAGAGAGAAGACACUACGCUUCGGGGUUCAGUUUGUUGUAAUAGGUGCAAAUCUUUGCUUCUCAUAAUUCUGCCCAAUGGAAGAACAUUCUCUGCCUACCCAGCUUGCCUCAAGAAGGAUAAUGAAGUGUUCAGAGUAAAUGUCCCUGAAGAACAAUCUCUUCGUCUGUCUCUCACUCGCUAUCAGGAUAGAAGCAUCAAGUGUAAUGAAGAUCAGUUUCUGUGUUAAGCUGGGAAAACCCAUUUAAAAAACAGCAAUCACUUCUGUUGUAACAACAAAACUUUGAUUGGCAGUUGCAGCUGCUGUGUGCCCCAUCUGAUUCCCAAGCCUCAUUCUCUCUCAAAAUUCAGGUGUCAGCAAACCCAUUCUUCCCCACACCCCAGCUAACUAUGUGAAUGUGCAGGCAAUUUCACACAGAGGAUAGGACAAACUUCCUAUGAGUGUCCAGGACGUGCAAUCCCUGGUAUAAAAUAAGUUGAAAUCCAGUUGACU